CGGAAGUCGAGAGUGGGGGGAGUUUCAGUAGAGUUUCAUUAUUCAUGCAUUUCUGAUGUUUCCUGCUGUCCGGAGAACAUGAUGUGGAAAAGCUGCUUCUUAAUCUCUAAAAGCAGAGGCAGUCAUCGCCGCUAUGAGUCCCAAAGCCACCAGAGCUUCAUUCUGCAUAAUCAUAUGCUCACUGGUUGCCAUGGUAACUAAAUGCUUGACUCCUCCUCCCUGGAUGACAGUUCUGACCACUUCCUGAAACCCACAAAAAGAGGCUGAGAUGAAUAAAACAGUUCUGAUGCAUUUUUUAUAAAUAGAGAUUAUAAUUGUUUAUCUGAUGAAUCUCAGUUGCUUCCUGUCUGUAACAUGACAAUGUUUACAUGAAGAACAAUAAACUGGUGACCUUAA